AUAUCAACGCAAACUUCACAUUCUCUUUGAAAGCAAUUCCAAUGAGAAACCCGUUGCCCUCGUGGUGAUGUGAGGUUCCAUGACGUCUGGAAUCCGUCUGUAGAAUGGAGAGAAACUUGGAAAAUCUUGGGUGCGAUGUUCUUCUGCCAGUGAAGAGGGUUGCAAUGAUUGGCCGUACAU
rnacentral:sRNA from 1 species